GUAGCUCGAGUAUAUACGUGGAAUUAAUUUACUUACAAAACGAGUUUCAGCUUCGGACUGGCGACACUGACACCUUCGGCCGAAAAACUUGUUUACGCUAAAUUGUGGUGGGAAAUGUGACAGAGUUAGAGAGAGGAGAAAAAAAAAUAACCUCGGGCUUUAAAUCAACACCGAACUCUCGACUCGGACUGACACAAAGUGCACGGUGACAGGGCGUCUGCCGGAUGUGACAACCGCAGACUCGUCAGAUAAGCAGACGCGUGACUCUCACGGCUUUUUCGCUUCGGCGCCACCUGUUGCUGCUUCUUGUAACUUCGGAAAUACGUUGUGUCGGUAAACAGGUCUUACCAUGGACCGGAGUCGGAGUAUUUCGACGCGGGGGGGAAACCACUACGGAGAGAGCAGAGAGGUUUCUCUCUGGAGAGAGUGCGGACAUAAAUUGUGCCUAUCUUUGAUUAGCUCCUGAACUGCGCAAGCAGAGUGCUUUAAAAUACGCGUAAUUCACUCGAAAAUAGUUGUUAUUGAAACAUCAUUCUGUCUUUUCGGCUUUACAAAGAAUGCCAACACUCGUAGUUUAGGGUUAGAUACAUUGGGAAUUAAUUUACCAUCCAUUCCAACUGGAGCACGAAUUUGCUCGAUGCAUUUUUAAGAGAAGUUCUUCGAUAGAUCGUCCCCUUCGCAAGUUCGACUCAAGCCAAAUGCAUUACCAUGUGUAAAAAUAAGGACGAAUAUUUUUAUUUAUCUUCAUUUCUUUUAGAAAAAAAUUGGCUAUAAAACCAGCAGCAGAAACUGGUGUCUCGGAUACAAGAACGAAGAUACAAGAUAAAUCAACUGAUCCUGAUUAAAAUUCUGAAAUAGAAGCGUUACACGAGGUCCAUCAUUUACAUACUGUGCAAGCUUCAUCGCCAGUGACUGAUACUUAUAUUUGUAAAUCUGAGUUUCAUUUCAAUAAAAAAUACGUCACAAAUUUGACCAUAUCAAAUUUAAUUAUGAGAUUGGAAAAUA
rnacentral:lncRNA from 1 species